AAGAUUGUAGUAAAUUAUUACAUUGCCUUGUCAAGACAAAGUUGCAGGUUAAUCCCCUGCCAAUUUUA
rnacentral:tRNA from 1 species